rnacentral:rRNA from 1 species
GAUGAACGCUGGCGGCAUGCCUAAUACAUGCAAGUCGAGCGAACAGACGAGGAGCUUGCUCCUCUGACGUUAGCGGCGGACGGGUGAGUAACACGUGGAUAACCUACCUAUAAGACUGGGAUAACUUCGGGAAACCGGAUCUAAUACCGGAUAAUAUAUUGAACCGCAUGGUGCAAUAGUGAAAGACGGUUUUUCUUUGACUUAAAGAUGGAUCCGCGACCCGUUAGCUAGUUGGUAAGGUAACGGCUUACCCAGGCGACGAUGCGUAGCCGACCCGAGAGGGUGGUCGGCCACACGGGAGCAGAGGCUCGGUCGCGACGCUGGCGGGAGGCCGCGGCACGGAAUCUUACGCGAUGGAGCAGAGGGUGACGUUGCAACGUCGCGUAAGUGAUGAUGGUCUUAGGACCGUUAAGCUCUGUUAUUCGGGAAGAACAAAUGUGUAUGUAACUAUGCUCGUCUUGACGGUACCUAGUCAGUAAGCCCCGGCUAACUCCGUG